UUCCGUGGAUUGGAUCAAGAGUUGAAGCAAUUGGAGGCCCAGGAGGAUGUAUUUUGGAGGCAGCGGGCGAAACAACACUGGCUGCGGGGUGCAGAUGCUAA